GGCCCUGUGGCGCAAUGGAUAGCGCAUUGGACUUCUAGGCUGUGAGCUGAGCCAUUCAAAGGUUGUGGGUUCGAGUCCCACCAGAGUCG
rnacentral:tRNA from 1 species